rnacentral:rRNA from 1 species
GAUGAACGCUGGCGGCGUGCCUAAUACAUGCAAGUCGAGCGAACAGACGAGGAGCUUGCUCCUCUGACGUUAGCGGCGGACGGGUGAGUAACACGUGGAUAACCUACCUAUAAGACUGGGAUAACUUCGGGAAACCGGAGCUAAUACCGGAUAAUAUAUUGAACCGCAUGGUUCAAUAGUGAAAGACGGUUUUGCUGUCACUUAUAGAUGGAUCCGCGCCGGAUUAGCUAGUUGGUAAGGUAACGGCUUACCAAGGCAACGAUGCGUAGCCGACCUGAGAGGAUGAUCGGCCACACUGGAACUGAGACACGGUCCAGACUCCUACGGGAGGCAGCAGUAGGGAAUCUUCCGCAAUGGGCGAAAGCCUGACGGAGCAACGCCGCGUGAGUGAUGAAGGUCUUCGGAUCGUAAAGCUCUUUUAUUAGGGAAGAACAAAUGUGUAAGUAACUAUGCACGUCUUGACGGUACCUAAUCAGAAAGCCACGGCUAACUACGUG